rnacentral:rRNA from 1 species
AGUGAACGCUGGCGGUAGGCCUAACACAUGCAAGUCGAACGGCAGCACAGUAAGAGCUUGCUCUUACGGGUGGCGAGUGGCGGACGGGUGAGGAAUACAUCGGAAUCUACUUUUUCGUGGGGGAUAACGUAGGGAAACUUACGCUAAUACCGCAUACGACCUACGGGUGAAAGCAGGGGAUCUUCGGACCUUGCGCGAUUGAAUGAGCCGAUGUCGGAUUAGCUAGUUGGCGGGGUAAAGGCCCACCAAGGCGACGAUCCGUAGCUGGUCUGAGAGGAUGAGCGGCAACAGGGGAACUGAGAGACGGUCCAGACUAAGGCGGGAGGCAGCAGGGGGGAAGAUUAGGCAGUGGGAGAAAGUAGGACGGAGCAAUGCCGCGUGAGGGAUGAAGGGCUUCGAAUUGUAAAACUCUGUUAUUAGGGAAGAAAAAAGGUGGAAGAAAAUAUGAAUGGCUUGACGGGACCUAAUAAGAAAGCCACGGCUAACUAAGUG